AUUGAACGCUGGCGGCAUGCUUCACAUGCAAGUCGAACGGCAGCGCGGGCUUCGGCCUGGCGGCGAGUGGCGAACGGGUGAGUAAUGCAUCGGAACGUGCCCAGUAGUGGGGGAUAGCCCGGCGAAAGCCGGAUUAAUACCGCAUACGACCUGAGGGUGAAAGCGGGGGACCGAAAGGCCUCGCGCUAUUGGAGCGGCCGAUGUCGGAUUAGCUAGUUGGUGGGGUAAAGGCUUACCAAGGCGACGAUCCGUAGCUGGUCUGAGAGGACGACCAGCCACACUGGGACUUGGGCCAGGGCCAGGCUUCCUCCGGGGGGAGCAGUGGGGGAAUUUGGGCAAUGGGGGCAACCCUGGACCAAGCAAGCCGCGGGCGGGGAGGAAGCCUUCGGGUUGUUAACCGCUUUUGUUCGGGAAGGAAACCUCUGGGCUAAUUCCCCUGGGGGGAUGACGGUACCGGAAGAAUAAGCACCGGCUAACUACGUG
rnacentral:rRNA from 1 species